rnacentral:rRNA from 1 species
GGGCCCGCACAAGCGGAGGAACAUGUGGUUUAAUUCGAUGAUACGCGAGGAACCUUACCCGGGCUUGAAUUGCAGCUGCAUGGGGCAGAGAUGUCCCUUCCCUUCGGGGCUGCUGUGAAGGUGCUGCAUGGUUGUCGUCAGCUCGUGCCGUGAGGUGUCGGCUUAAGUGCCAUAACGAGCGCAACCCUUGCUGUCAGUUGCCAUCAGGUAAUGCUGGGCACUCUGGCGGGACUGCCAUCGCAAGAUGUGAGGAAGGUGGGGAUGACGUCAAAUCAGCACGGCCCUUACGUCCGGGGCUACACACGUGUUACAAUGGGGAGUACAGAAAGCCGGUCAUUGGCGACAAUGAUCCAAUCCUCAAAACUCCUCUCAGUUCGGACUGGAGUCUGCAACCCGACUCCACGAAGCUGGAUUCGCUAGUAAUCGCGCAUCAGCCAUGGCGCGGUGAAUACGUUCCCGGGCCUU